rnacentral:rRNA from 1 species
AACGAACGUUAGCGGCGCGCCUAACACAUGCAAGUCGAGCGAGAAAGGGCUUCGGCCCCGGUAAAGCGGCGCACGGGUGAGUAACACGUGGAUAACCUACCCCUUGGUGGUGGAUAACCUUCCGAAAGGAGGGCUAAUACAGCGUAAGACCACGACUUCGAAAGAGGUUGAGGUAAAAAGUGGGCCUCUGUACACAAGCUCACGCCAGGGGAUGGGUCCGCGGCCCAUCAGCUGGUUGGUAGGGUAACGGCCUACCAAGGCGAAGACGGGUAGCUGGUCUGAGAGGAUGAUCAGCCACACUGGAACUGAGACACGGUCCAGACUCCUACGGGAGGCAGCAGUGGGGAAUCUUGCGCAAUGGACGAAAGUCUGACGCAGCGACGCCGCGUGAGUGAUGAAGGCCU